CUAGAAACUUCUUAAGUUUUAAAAUUCAAAAAUGUUUAAAUUGUUGUUUGUCCUUUUAGCCGCCUUAUUGUCUGUGGCCGUAGCUAUUCCUUCGCCCAUUCCCGGGCCUGCUCCUUCACCAAGGGCUGCACCUGAACCUCGUCCAGCUCCCCAGUACUAUGGAUCCCCAUACACUUAUGGCGGUUACUAUGGAUCUCCAUAUGCAUACUAUGGCUAGAAUUGAAUCAGGAUUACUUUGUGAUUCACAUUUUUUGUAUACUUUGCUUUGGUACUUACAUGCAUCAUUUAAAUUAAACAAGUAACUGUAAUAAAAACGAAGAAAGUAAAAAUAGUGAUUAACAAGUAAAAACGUU